rnacentral:lncRNA from 1 species
CUUCUUCUUCUUCUUCUUCUUACUUCGCCAUCAUCUUCUCUUGGCUUCUUCUUUUCUCUUUUGCAGGUUCAAUUGGAGAGAUCAAUCUCAACACUCCCUCUUGAUUUCUUCGAUUGAAUCCCAUAGAUGAAUUUAGGGAUUUGAGUUUUGGUACCUUUAGUUCAUUGCGGUUUAGCCAAUGUUUCAUCGGAGGGGCUCGUUUUAGAGCGUCAGCAUAGCUCAUGGGAGUGUUCAGUUUCACCAUCUCUCUCUUGCUUGAGGUAUCAAUGGUAUUUGCAUCUUCAGGUUUCGAUUCUCCCUCUAUAACCAAUUUUUUCUGAAUUUCAUUCGUCCCUUCUGAUUCAACUAGUUUUACCUUUUUCUUUUCCUGCAGAAUUUCGGGAGACCGAGCAUUGAAUUCAUUAACCUUUUUGGUGAUCUCUAUGGUGGCUUUUCUCAAUUCACCAUCGGUUCUUCCUUCAACAGAUUUCAGCUUGCUUUGUUGGUUUUCUUGAUUCAUACUUGAUUCUCCCGUCUGGAUGAUGUUUGGUUUUCCAGACACAAGUAAGCAUUUCAACUCUUUCUUUUUCUUUUCGCUCUUUUGAGCAACUUCAAUUGGUUCAUUGACCUUGAAUCUCUUUUGGUUAUUUUCGGAACUUCCUUUGUUCACUUCCUUGUUCACCAGCUUCCUUCUUUCAGCGUUGGACUUUUCUUCUUGACAUACUACAGGUUGAUCAUUUGAUUCUCCUUUAUCAAUUCUGAUCCACUCUCUUUGGUUGGACAUGUUGAUUUUAACUCCAGAUUUAGGAGACUCUGAGAUUGUAGACCUCUUUUUGUAUGGCAGUAGAUCUGUUGGAAUUGAGUACUUGCACUUUUCACACAGCUGAAACUCAGGCUUAGCUUCAUCUUUUAUUGCAGCCAUAGUUGCUUCAUUUCUUGUGGGCCAUUGGAUAUGGAAGCUUUUCCCGAUCAUCUUUAUGUCAGCAACAAGUCUUCCAGUUUGAUCACGAAUGACACAGCUCCCUUCAAAGAAGUUAAUCUCGUAUCCACGAUCAAUCAUUUGAGAGACGCUCAGGAGAUUCUUGGUAAUGUUGGGUACUAGGAAAACAUCACGAAUGAUUCUUUUCCCAUUGGUGGUUUCUACCUCAAUAUCUCCCUUGCCUUUUGUCAUCAGCUCAUCUCCAUUUCCUAUACGAAUAGGUACAUUGAAGCUGGUGUCAAGGUUAGUAAAGAUUGCUUCAUUUGGAGUCAUGUGCUUUGUGCAUCCGCUAUCAAUAAGCCAACUGUUGAGAUCAUUUGCAUCUCCGUUUUCUUGUCUUGCAGUGAACAUAUGGUAGUUCUCCUCCUUCACUUCUUCUUUCUCUUGGGUAACAUUUGCUUCCUCAGAUUUCUUGGCUUGGCAGUCUCUUGAGAAGUGACCAGAUUUACCACAGACAUAACAGUUCCUCAACCUACUAUGUUUCUCAAAACACAUGUCUUCAUUGUGAUUAUCCCUUUUACAGUGACCACACCACCUUCUCUUUCUGUAACUUGACUGACCUUGAUUUGUUCUGCCAUUGUUCUCCAUGUUUGGAUUCUUGAAACGGGCAUAGAAGGCACCUUCAGAAUCUUCUUCAUCUUCUGGAAAGAACUUCUUUUCGUGUGCCUCCAAUGAACCAAUUAGUUCAGCAUAAGUGACAGUCUUCAGAUCUUUGGUUUCUUCCAUCAAUGAGGACAAGGAGGCAUAGCUUUUGGGCAUAGAAGCAAGCAUCUUAACAACCAAAUCAAAGUUAGAUUUACCUUCUCCUAAGGCACUCAUUUGGUUUGCAACCACUUGAAUUCUAUCAGAAUAUCCUUUAACCUUUUCCCCUUCUUUCAUUUUCAGAUUUUCAAACUCUCUCCUUAGUGACUGAAGUCUAACAGUUUUGACUUUUUCGUUACCUUGGUAAGAGUGCUCCAGAAGUAUCCAUGCUUGAUGUGCCGAGGUUGCAGAGAGGAUCUUGUCAAAGACCACAUCAGCGACGGCAAGUUGAAUGAGUUGGAGCGCAGCAGUAUCUUUGGUUUUUAGAGCUUUCAGGUUUGCAGCUUCUUUGCCUUUAUCUGCUCCUGGAGUUGUCUCUGGUAGUUGAGCAGUCGGUUCUGGGAUUCCAUCUUUAACAACUUCCCAGAGAUCUUUAUUCAUGAGAGUUGUUCUCAUUCUCGCAGCCCAGAAUACAUAAUUCUGGCCAUCAAACACAGCAACAAGUUGUGAUGAUUGCAGCAGGUUUAUUGCCAUUUCUUUCUUCUUUUCUGAUUCUUCUUUGAUGACUCUUGUUCAGGCUUCUUCACUUCUUUACUUCUUUCUUGUUUUAACAGGUUCCUAGGAUAAGAUGAGCUCUGAUACCAUGUUGCAUUUUCUGAAUUUGUAAGUUUCUCUUCACUCUUUAUCUUUUUGAUUUUCUUAACAUAUGUUUUUUUUUUUUAUUUCAGAAGGAUGAUCUUACACAACACAAACAACACAUACAUAUAGUGGUUCGUUUCCACUUACCACACAUACUUGCACCCAUACUUCUACUUGGACCUAGACUUACUUCUAGACAUCAUUGCCUAAAGUUUACUUACACAAGCAAUCUUAACAACUACAACAACUACUAUAGUCUUGCUUUAGACUAACUACAACACUCUUUCUUCUUUGGGCCUAAUUUAACUAAUAGCCCAAUACUAACAUAACUACAAAACACACAAAGCCCAACUCUUUCUUCUUGUUGACUUGUGUCUUUCUUCUUGUUGUGUCGUUGACCACUCUUUUCACGACACCAAUUUCUUCUUCUUCUUCUUCUUCUUCUUCUUCUUCUUCUUACUUCGCCAUCAUCUUCUCUUGGCUUCUUCUUUUCUCUUUUGCAGGUUCAAUUGGAGAGAUCAAUCUCAACA